ACGCAACUAGAAUGUCUACACAAAGUGUUUAUCCACUAUGUUUUUCUAAUAAAGUAUUAAAUUAACCUGGACUCUACACCUUUUGGAGUGUAUAUACACAGCCAAAUCAUCCAGUGAUGGAUAUUACCCACUAUGUUUGCUCACCUAAUUUGUUGAUAGUCUGGUGAUUCGAAUAGGACUGGAACAUCAACACCUUAAUCAGAUCACCGAUGUUUCGUUAUUCCAGCUUGCUGCCCAUACGCUGUAGGCUGGUACUUUGCCUCGUCCGUUCAGCAGUGUAGGCAGUUUAAUUCAGACGAAAUCAACUAAUGCAGACCACAUGGUGCUGAUUGUCAAGUUGUCUGCAGACAUGGUUAAUUUCCAAAUCGGUGGAAUAUACAUUCGAUAAUUCCCCUGUCAUGUGAACCUACCACAAAAUUCCUAAUGCACCCCAAUCGUAGUUAUAUAUAGAUGUUUAGUGGGACAAUUGGUAUUAAACGUUGUUGAUUGCCUCUUAACUCUUGUUUGCAUGUACACUCCAUU
rnacentral:lncRNA from 1 species